UACGAAGGGUGCAAGCGUUAAUCGGAAUUACUGGGCGUAAAGGGUGCGUAGGCGGUUCGUUAAGUCUGUCGUGAAAUCCCCGGGCUCAACCUGGGAAUGGCGAUGGAUACUGGCGAGCUAGAGUGUGUCAGAGGAUGGUGGAAUUCCCGGUGUAGUGGUGAAAUGCGUAGAGAUUGGGAAGAACACCAGUGGCGAAGGCGGCUAUCUGGACGGUUUCUGACGCUAAGACGCGAAAGCGUGGGGAGCAAACAGG
rnacentral:rRNA from 1 species